rnacentral:rRNA from 1 species
UACGAAGGGGGCUAGCGUUGUUCGGAAUCACUGGGCGUAAAGGGCGCGUAGGCGGCCGAUCAAGUCGGGGGUGAAAGCCUGUGGCUCAACCACAGAAUUGCCUUCGAUACUGUUUGGCUUGAGACCGGAAGAGGUAAGUGGAACUGCGAGUGUAGAGGUGAAAUUCGUAGAUAUUCGCAAGAACACCAGUGGCGAAGGCGGCUCACUGGUCCGGUACUGACGCUGAGGUGCGAAAGCGUGGGGAGCAAACAGG